UAGCUGCGUGCACACGCCCU
rnacentral:piRNA from 1 species